GGCAACAACAAAUCUUCACUAUCGGAGGCAACUUUUGUUCUGACGCCAUUUUGAAAAGUUGGAUACCUAAGUUUUAAAUUGUUCAGUGUAUAUAUUGCAGAGAGAAAGAGAGAGAGAGAGAGAGAAAUAUGAGACAGUGAUAUAGCAUAACUUAGAUUAUGGAGGCCCCAAAGGCACCGUGCAUGUGCAUGCUGUAUGUUGUAAAAUGGCAACGUUUCGCUUUUUAUCAUGUUUAUUAAAAUGUAUGCUCCAUAUGUAUGUUCUCUCUCUAUAAAUAAAUGAAUACUUUUCGGAAUUAAAAAAAAUAUUUUUAACCCCGCUCAAAUUAUCCGGAUGAUAAUAGUUACACCGAGCAUGGUUUCGUAGUUAAAUUCAGACUGUAGAACAUCCGGUUUGAAUACAUGUGUUUUCUGACUUUUCGGAUAGCCAACUCUUGUUUUUUGGAACUUACGACUUAUGGCAAGAGAGAAGAAAACUGUGUGACGUUAAAAGAAAACCAGUGAGAUAAAAUCAUAGAAAAUGUAUGAUGAUUCAGGAUGUGGCCAUUUGGUCCUGUUCUGUGGAUGCCCUAAGACAGUGUCUACCCAUCACUCCAUCUGAUAUCACUUGUUCUGUGCAUAUUUCUCUCUCAAACUUAAACUACAGAGAGCCUGUGGAUAGAGGAUGAAGAGUGACCUUGGACUAAUUUUCUAGGUCAAAGAUCAUAGGUGAUGUGAAGAAAACCAGGAAACUGAUGUUGAAAGAAGUACCUAAUGACCCUUAUGAAUGGACUUAAAUGUGAAAGACUGUUCCAUUGCUUAUCUAAGAUAUAUGAAUUUAUUUAAUAUUUUGAUAUCAUUGAAAAAUUCAGUUACAGUUUUUGUACAUCAAAUGAAUUAUUAAACAUAUAAAAUGGUAA